GACGAACGCUGGCGGCGUGCUUAACACAUGCAAGUCGAGCGAUGAAGUUCCUUCGGGAAUGGAUUAGCGGCGGACGAGUGAGUAACACGUGGGUAACCUGCCUCAUAGAGGGGAAUAGCCUUUCGAAAGGAAGAUUAAUACCGCAUAAGAUUGUAGUAUCGCAUGAUACAGCAAUUAAAGGAGUAAUCCGCUAUGAGAUGGACCCGCGUCGCAUUAGCUAGUUGGUGAGGUAACGGCUCACCAAGGCGACGAUGCGUAGCCGACCUGAGAGGGUGAUCGGCCACAUUGGGACUGGGACACGGCCCAGACUCCUACGGGAGGCAGCAGUGGGGAAUAUUGCACAAUGGGGGAAACCCUGAUGCAGCAACGCCGCGUGAGUGAUGACGGUCUUCGGAUUGUAAAACUCUGUCUUCAGGGACGAUAAUGACGGUACCUGAGGAGGAAGCCACGGCUAACUACGUGCCAGCCGCCGCGGUAA
rnacentral:rRNA from 1 species